rnacentral:rRNA from 1 species
AUGGCUCAGGAUGAACGCUAGCGGCAGGCUUAACACAUGCAAGUCGAGGGGCAGCGGGAUGUAGCAAUACAUUGCCGGCGACCGGCGGAUGGGUGCGUAACGCGUAUGCAACCUACCUUAUACAGGGGAAUAACCUUUCGAAAGGGAGACUAACACCCCAUAGUAUUGAUUUAAGGCAUCUUAGAUUAAUUAAAUAUUUAUAGGUAUAAGAUGGGCAUGCGUAUGAUUAGCUAGUUGGUAAGGUAACGGCUUACCAAGGCGACGAUCAUUAGGGGUUCUGAGAGGAAGGUCCCCCACACUGGUACUGAGACACGGACCAGACUCCUACGGGAGGCAGCAGUGAGGAAUAUUGGUCAAUGGGCGCAAGCCUGAACCAGCCAUGCCGCGUGCAAGGAAGACGGCCUUAUGGGUUGUAAACUGCUUUUACAUAAGACUAACCGUAUAUUUGCGAAUAUACCUGAAUGUAUUAUGAGAAUAAGGAUCGGCUAACUCCGUGCCAGCAGCAGC